GUUAAUCUCGCUAAACAAGGCAUCUUAUGCCAGACCAUAAGAUGACUUUCGCCAGCCCAAAAUCUGGGUGUCAAUCUCGUAAAACAAGGCAUCUUGUGCCAAGCCACAAGAUGAGUUUCACCAAGCCACAAUCCAGGUGUUAGUCCAACUAAAUAAAGUAUCUUAUGCCAGGCCACAAGGCAAGUUCUGCUAGGCCAAAAUUCGGGUGUCAAUUCUGCUAAACAAGGCAUCUUAUGCCAGGCGACAAUCUGGGUG
rnacentral:lncRNA from 1 species